GACGUAGGAGGCGAGCGUUGUCCGGAUUCAUUGGGCGUAAAGAGCGCGCAGGCGGCUUGGUAAGUCGGAUGUGAAAUCCCGAGGCUCAACCUCGGGUCUGCAUCCGAUACUGCCCGGCUAGAGGUAGGUAGGGGAGAUCGGAAUUCCUGGUGUAGCGGUGAAAUGCGUAGAGAUCAGGAAGAACACCGGUGGCGAAAGCGCUCUGCUAGGCCGCAACUGACACUGAGGGACGAAAGCUAGGGGAGCGAAUGGG
rnacentral:rRNA from 1 species